AAAAAAGAAAUCUAUAAACUACGUGAAAUAAAUUUAAUAUAAUGAUCACGAAAUGAGAGGAAAAUUUCUGGAAUCCAAAUUUUCUUUCUUUAACGAUCCUUCUUCGAGAUGAUUAACAAUUGAUCAAUUAAACCGUUUAACUUAAAACAAUUAACAAACGAAAAAUUCAAUCGCGAUAAUUCUAAUUCCAAUUCGAAUUGGCCCAGGUUCCAUCAAUCUCGAGGGCAAUCUCGUCGUCAUUAAUAGAUCGAGCAAGGGAAAACGAAAACGAUCGAACAAAUCCGUGCAACGACACGAACAGCGUACACGAUCGAUUAGUUGAAGUUUGCGGAUACCGAUUACAGUUAAACACACGUCUUCCAUUCAAAAGAUUGCCAAAGGCGUUUCGUUUUACUACCAUUAGCGCCGUUCCCAUUGUACCACGUCGGAUGGCGUGACAGUGGCGGUGGCACACCUGCAAGUGGUUUUAUGAAUGGACACAGAGAGUUGAGGCAGAGUGUAAAUUUAUACGGGCGGACGGAUGGUCACGCGACACCGUGCGAUGUGACGCGAGCUGUUUUAUUGGCGUAUCGUCACGGCCCGAUGGAAUGCCUCGAUCUAUUAAUGAAUGAAUUUCUCUCUCUCCUUUUUUUUUAUGUUUCGCGCUUUCAACAAUUUUUCCAACGAAACGAUUAGACGCAAAUACUUGGUUAAAAGAAUAAUGUAAUUUUCUCGGAAUAAUAUUGAAAAUUGGAAAGCUUCUGUUUAUAUCUGAAAUAGAGGUAUGAAGAUGUAAAAAAAAAAGAAUGAUUUUUGUUGUAAAUUGUCGACACUGAAACAUAAUUUGAAUGAAUCUAGAUUCUACGAAAUACGAUUUCCAAACUUGAUUCAUAAAUAUGAUUAACAAUAUCGUUUUGAAUGAAGCGGAGAAACGAAGAAUGUGAUAUAUUAUAUAUACGGCCACGCGACGAGUCAGCAAAUAUAUUGAUUGUACUACUGCGUUUCACGUGCCGUUAUUAAUGAAAUCGUAAAAAGAGUUUACUCGAUUUAAACGAAUUUCAUCGAAAGAAACUUCAUCAUUUUUCGCAAAUCAAACGCGACGAAUAAGGUAUAACAAUAUUCAUUCCACGAAUCGAACAAAAAUCCGAAUGAGAAAUGACACGUGCUCACAGGACAAACAAUUUUGCGGUCUCGGAGCACGGAAUAGCAAAUCGCAAAAUCAAUCGCGAUUAUUGAUGGCACGAUAACUAGGCAAAGCCGCAAAACACGCCGAUUGAUGCUGUAAUAGUGGUGCUGUUGCGUUUAAAUGCGGCAAUGUUCUCUUUGCCAAGAAGAUAUAUUAUCAAACAAUGAUAUCUCGCAAUUGCCUUUUCAUUAGAAACGAAUUUGGAACGAAAAUCGAUUAAUAAAACACUGACCAUAUAUAUCUCGUUCGUAAUUUCUCAUAAGUUAAUUGUAUUGAAAUGAUACCAUGGAAUAUUUUUUCAAAAUUCUUCUUUGAAAAAAAUAAUAACGUACGAAUAAAAUAACAUUUAUACCACAUCUUGGAAAAGUGAUAAUAUUCAUAUUGAAGAAGAGGUUGGACAAGAGAGUGAAGAAUAUUCCUUAUAAAUAUGAGAGACAGUGGCCGUUCGAGGAACGUUUGAAAGGGGAAAAAUGAACGAAUUGUGGUCUCUCGGCGACGACUACGACAAUCCUCGUCACGCGGAGUUUACCACUGAUCUCGUUAAAACUUCAAGUCGACUGGAAGGUAACCACAAAAGUAAAUCCCAAAUCGGUCUCCGCCGCCGGGAAUGAACGCGAUAAAUUUUUCCCCGAAACUUGGGUCGAGAUUCUCACGGGGUUCGAUUCCCGUUGGAGCUUAGAGUUCUUUAAAUUUUUCAAAAUUCCACCGCCCCUUUUCGAACGAGAAAAAAGAAUCAACGGGAGAAAAAAGCGAUGAUCUCGAUGAUCUCACCUCCGUUGUAACUUGAAAUAACAAAGAGAGCAAAGUUUCUUUACCUGUUCGCGAACGAAUUGAUUUCUAAAAAUUCAUAUCUCGUGUAACGUAGAGAUAAGCAGAGUAUACGCGAUAUGUAACAAUGCAUCAAACCAAACAGAGGGCUGACGCGAAGAUAACACAGACAAACAGAUAGCGAGAGGAAGAAAAAUGGCGGCACGUCCUCGUAAUAUGGUCCCAGCGUCGAUGUUCAACAUGAUCAAUCGUCCACUCUUCUUCGAGCAGAGAACGUGAGCAAUAUCGCGACAAUGUUACCUUCUUGAAAUUGUAAUUUUUAUUAAGCUGGAUACGUCGUUCCUUAUUUUUUAAUCCCAAUGUCCACGCAUCUUCUUUUAAUACUUUAUCUUUCCACAGAAAUAAAAUCAUUGAUAAGAGGAACGAAACUACGAGACAUUUAAAAUUUAACAUGGGCAAACCAAAUUUCCAAAUCCUUCAUUUACAAAUAUAAUUCGUACAUGAAUUAUCGAAUUAUCUAUUCCCUAGUGCUCCCUAGUUUUCUGCCUAGUGAAAAAUCACUGAAUCCGAGCCGUAACCAGCAGAACAAAGGGGAAGAAAAGGAAAGAUCUACAUGAUUCAUGUUCACAUCGAAGAAUCUGAACCCUCGGGCACAUAAUAUUCGCAAACUUCGACGUCCAAUGGCGCUCUCCAGGUUAUCUAAAUGGCCUGAGAGGAGAUACGCGGUUAUCUACACGAUUCGGAUUAUCAUAGUUUCAACAGGAAAGAAUUCGGCUCUGUCUUAAUCUACAUCACAGUAAAUUAAUACUGUACUCAUAGCUGAAAGAAAACUCAAUUGAACCGAGGCUGAAUUUGACGCACUUUCAAAAUAGCCCAUUGCGACAUUGGGGCUUAAAGGGUUAACCAUCUUUGCAAAGAAAGCUGGGCGGCGGUUUUCCGGGAAACAGAAUCGGUGCAACGUCCCGGAAAAUGUGUUUUAUCGAUUGCAUGGCCUACCGACCAAGGACCGACCGGUGAACCUAAAUUACAGGUUGCGUGACAGUGAUAUAGCCACCGACACAGGAAGCAACAGUAGUUGCUCGAAGACAGGAGGAACGUGAUUUGGUGCUCGAAUGCGGAACGCGUUUUCCUUCCUUGGAAGGAAAUGGAGGGGGAGAGGAGGGAGAAGGAAAGAAAAAUAAGUAUGGAAACGCGAGGAAAGAGAUAAGAGAAGCGGCUUCUUGGUUGCGGCACCCGGUCUACUCGAUGAAAUCGAUUUGAUUCUAUUUUCCCGCGGCGCGUGAUUUUUCUUACCUCGUCGGAUGUGAGCUUUGUCGUAUUUCACGCGACUUCUCGUUUCCGGUAUCGAGAGUGUAAAGGGAAAAGGGCGAAAUAAAAGGUUCACGGUGUAAAGGAGGAUUUUCGCGCUUUGUUCGUGGGCCAAAGUCGCGUGGCUGGAUUAGAAUGGGAUCGAGAAUCGAUGGAGAAUAGGAUUUGUAAGAAUUUCGAUUAUUUUUUAAAGAUGUAUGUAUGUACUCGAUUUCUCGACAAAUCUAAGAGCACGAUACAGUGGAUAAAAUUUACGAUAUUGAGAAACUUAAAACGUAGUUUGCUGAAUAACUUUUUUCUUUCAGAAUUCUUUUUGAACGAUGCAAAUAACAAAUUUGAGAAAUAUACAAGUAUUAAAUUUUAAACAUUGUAAUACAAUUUAUAUAUUAUGGAUAAUUCUUAUACUAUUAAAUCCUGCGUUCACGAAGCGUAAAAAGAAACAGGAAAAACCAAACACCAAGCAAAAUUACGUCGUGAAUUGUUUAUAAAUCUACAUAAAUAAACGAAAAGCUAUCGGAUAACGAGCGAUCCCAACCGAUUACAUUUUUAAUAACUCCAUAUCCCGGACGUAGUCGUACAUAUCAUUUUCGCUCCCUGAAUUAUUCUCUCUCCGAUUUUCCGAUCGAUAUUUAAUUCUCGCUUAAAAAAAAGGAGAACAGUAAUCGAAAUCUUUCCCAUUCUCAGAAAAGGAAGAGGAGAACGAGGCGAAUGAAAAAAAGGAAGGAAGAAAUGUUUGUAUUUUUGGCAUACGUGAUCCACCGCCAUAUGGCGGCCCUCGUUCAACCUUCACCGCCUCGUUUCGAAUUCCCGCUGGCUCCUUCCAUUCUUGCCAGCCGACUCGGAAAAAGGCACGGGUAAUGGACAAGAUUCGGGGGCGGAAUAAGGCGAUCACUAUGCAUUCGACGCCCGUAUACCGUGGCCAGGGCCGUAUAUACGCCAAUAAAAGGAUCCUCCCCCUCCCGAUCCGCGAGAUUUCUCUUUAUUUCGGCAUCAGCGGCAUCACCCGAUCCUCGCUCGGCCGAGCAAUCGUGGCCCUGAUUUCGAGAACCGGGCGCAGAUGCCGCGCCUCGUUUCUGACGGCUUCGAAAACGAAACUGGUUCCUUCGAUAUCUCGAUACGGCACGUGGCCCCUUCUGCAACCGGCUCCAGGGGAUGGUCGUCUUUUAUAUAUCCGGUAAAUAACGAGACUGGCUAAUGUAAUUUUAAAGAAACCGUGGCUUAGUCUCGGAUUAAAACGAGCAUACAAACGUUUCGAGAUGUAUUUCUGUAGAGAAUGAUAUUAUUCUGAUCAAACAAGCGUUCUCGAGUAGGAAAAAUGAAUUUACGAAUAUCAAUACACGUCUAUCAAUUUCGUUAAACAACCACCAUGCCACGAAACCAUGCGUUUUAAUAUAAUUCCAUCAGGGAAUGAAGCAAACUAUAUGUCGUUUUAUACCGUGCACGCAAUUUAAACUUUGCCUCGCUUUGUAGCCGAAUGAAAAGGUUCUAAUUCGAUAGAUAGAUUCAUUAAAGGAAGGCGCGUAGUUUUAGCUUCCCUUGAAAUAAUUUUCACCGAAGAAAGGUCUUCUAAUUUCAACCCAAUCUCUCCGAGAUACGAGGCGAGGUAACGACAGAAACUCAUUAGGAGCGAUAUGCGGUCCGGUUUGCGGGGAUGAGUUCAGAUAUAUUCGGCCAGGUAUCGCGCGCGGGGUCGCGGGGUAAUCGUUGGCUCCGUUAAUUCAAGUUAGUCGGGUGUAAGGACCAGUCAGCUGGCUGUGAAAACGCAUUAAGUUCGAGUCGGCGAAUCCAUUUUCCGCGCGUCGGUUUCCGCCACGCCGCGGUAAGCCGCAACACCGGCCGGCUAAACUGACCGAACGUUGGCGGGAAAUAAACGUGGCACGCUGCAUAAUACUGUAAAUAAUACAAGGGUGGAUUUUCCAAACGAUCGAUCCCAUUUCGCCCAGUGAAGUUUCAAUCUCGAUAUUAUUAUUAUUAUUAUUUUUCCGACUCGAAGGAAACACGAUUCUUCUUGAUUUCGGGUGGAUGUUAUAUCUAUCGAGGAACUUCUUAUUGCAAGAGGUGAAUGGAUAUUCUCUAAGGAAGAAUAGAAACAUAAGAUCCUACUUGAUUUUUAAAGCUAAAAGUUUAAAUCAUUGAAGAAUUCGAAAGUUAUUGCACGAGAUAACAAUACUUCUACGAUAUAGUAGAAAAAUUAAUUAAA
rnacentral:lncRNA from 1 species